AUUGAACGCUGGCGGCAGGCCUAACACAUGCAAGUCGAGCGGAGCGGCGGUCGCGUGAGUAAUGCCUAUGAAUCUGCCUGGUAGUGGGGGAUAACGUUCGCUACCGGGCACUAUUACCGCUUACUCUCACAUUAGCCUAGGCCGGAUUAGCUAGUUGGUGGGGUAAAGGCCUACCAAGGCGACGAUCCGUAACUGGUCUGAGAGGAUGAUCAGUCACACUGGAACUGAGACACGGUCCAGACUCCUACGGGAGGCAGCAGUGGGGAAUAUUGGGCAAUGGGCGAAAGUCUGACCGAGCCACGCCGCGUGAGUGAAGAAGGUUUUCGGAUCGUAAAGCUCUGUUGUUAGAGAGGCGGUAUCUACCCAAAAAGCACCGGCUAACUACGUGCCAGCAGCCGCGGUAAUAC
rnacentral:rRNA from 1 species